rnacentral:rRNA from 1 species
GUAGGUGGCAAGCGUUGUCCGGAAUUAUUGGGCGUAAAGCGCGCGCAGGCGGGUUCUUUAAGUCUGACGUGAAAGCCCACGGGCUCAACCGUGGAGGGUCAUUGGAAACUGGAGAACUUGAGUACAGAAGAGGAAAGCGGAAUUCCACGUGUAGCGGUGAAAUGCGUAGAGAUGUGGAGGAACACCAGUGGCGAAGGCGGCUUUCUGGUCUGUAACUGACGCUGAGGCGCGAAAGCGUGGGGAGCAAACAGGAUUAGAUACCCUGGUAGUCCACGCCGUAAACGAUGAGUGCUAAGUGUUAGGGGGGUUUCCGCCCCUUAGUGCUGCAGCUAACGCAUUAAGCACUCCGCCUGGGGAGUACGGCCGCAAGGCUG